UGGGGAAUAUUGCACAAUGGGCGCAAGCCUGAUGCAGCCAUGCCGCGUGUUUGAAGAAGGCCUUCGGGUUGUAAAGUACUUUCAGCGGGGAGGAAGGGAGUAAAGUUAAUACCUUUGCUCAUUGACGUUACCCGCAGAAGAAGCACCGGCUAACCCCGUGCCAGCAGCCGCGGUAAUACGGAGGGUGCAAGCGUUAAUUGGAAUUACUGGGCGUAAAGCGCACGCAGGCGGUUUGUUAAGUCAGAUGUGAAAUCCCCGGGCUCAACCUGGGAACUGCAUCUGAUACUGGCAAGCUUGAGUCUCGUAGAGGGGGGUAGAAUUCCAGGUGGAGCGGUGAAAUGCGUAGAGAUCUGGAGGAAUACCGGUGGCGAAGGCGGCCCCCGGGACGAAGCCUGACGCUCAGGUGCGAAAGCGUGGGGAGCAAACAGG
rnacentral:rRNA from 1 species